rnacentral:rRNA from 1 species
UCCGGUGGCAAUAGCUAAGGGGAACCACCUGUCCCCAUACCGAACACAGAAGUUAAGCCCUUAAACGCCGAAAGUACUACGUUGGAGACGACGUGGGAGGAUAGGUAGUUGCCGGAU